GAUGAACGCUGGCGGCGUGCCUAAUACAUGCAAGUCGAGCGAACGGACGAGAAGCUUGCUUCACUGAUGUUAGCGGCGGACGGGUGAGUAACACGUGGAUAACCUACCUCUAAGACUGGGAUAACUUCGGGAAACCGUAGCUAAUACCGGAUAAUAUUUUGAACCGCAUGGUUCAAAAGUGAAAGACGGUCUUGCUGUCACUUAUACAUGUCUUCGCGCUGCAUUGGCUAGUUCGUACGGUAACGGCUUCCCAAGGCAACGAUGCAUAGCCGACCUGAGAGGGGGAUAGCCGACAUUGGAGCGUAGACACGGUCCAGACGCCUGAGGGACGGAGCAGUAGGGAAUCUGACGCAGUGGGCGAGAGCCUUACGGAGCAACGCCGCGUGAGUGAUGAAGGUCUUCGGAUCGUAAAACUCUGUUAUUAGGGAAGAACAUAUGUGUAAGUAACUGUGCACAUCUUGACGGUACCUAGUCAGAAAGCCACGGCUAACUACGUG
rnacentral:rRNA from 1 species